UAGGGAAUCUUCCGCAAUGGACGAAAGUCUGACGGAGCAACGCCGCGUGAGCGAUGAAGGCCUUCGGGUCGUAAAGCUCUGUUGUUAGGGAAGAACAAGUACCGUUCGAAUAGGGCGGUACCUUGACGGUACCUAACCAGAAAGCCACGGCUAACUACGUGCCAGCAGCCGCGGUAAUACGUAGGUGGCAAGCGUUGUCCGGAAUUAUUGGGCGUAAAGCGCGCGCAGGCGGUUCCUUAAGUCUGAUGUGAAAGCCCACGGCUCAACCGUGGAGGGUCAUUGGAAACUGGGGAACUUGAGUGCAGAAGAGGAAAGCGGAAUUCCACGUGUAGCGGUGAAAUGCGUAGAGAUGUGGAGGAACACCAGUGGCGAAGGCGGCUUUCUGGUCUGUAACUGACGCUGAGGCGCGAAAGCGUGGGGAGCGAAACAGGAUUAGAUACCCUGGUAGUCCACGCCGUAAACGAUGAGUGCUAAGUGUUAGGGGGUUCCGCCCCUUAGUGCUGCAGCUAACG
rnacentral:rRNA from 1 species